rnacentral:rRNA from 1 species
UACGUAGGGUGCGAGCGUUAAUCGGAAUUACUGGGCGUAAAGCGCACGUAGGUGGCUUUUUAAGUCGGGGGUGAAAUCCUGGAGCUCAACUCCAGAACUGCCCUCGAUACUGGGAAGCUUGAGUUCGGGAGAGGUGAGUGGAACUGCGAGUGUAGAGGUGAAAUUCGUAGAUAUUCGCAAGAACACCAGUGGCGAAGGCGGCUCACUGGCCCGAUACUGACGCUGAGGUGCGAAAGCGUGGGGAGCAAACAGG